rnacentral:rRNA from 1 species
CCCAAGCUAAGUCUUUUAACUGGGCUGGGUGCGUCGAGGUCAGCUUUAGGAGUUCCGCCAGCACCGCCGCGUAGCCACUCCCGAACCUACCAUCGACCUUCCGGCUGCCGCCGCUCCUGCUUUGCCUCCACCUCUCCCCCUGACGUCCACGCCUUCACUCGAGUAGCUGGGGCGGCUGCCGUUCCAGAUCGGAACGAGUGGUAUGAGGCCGUGGGGCGCACCGUGUCCGUUACCAUUCCUUUCUCCGCUUGACAAUAACUUCUAAACAGAAACCACAGAGAUAUCAAAUCACUCGUCUCAUUAAUCUUAAAUCCCAACCUAACCUGGGUACUUCCACGACGUAUAACUAAAUAUGCUUCUAAUGAGUUGGAGACACAAACACAUAGAAUCUUAGGUCCUGGGCCUGACAAUCUUGAGUCUUGAACUUAAAUCGUCCAAAGUGUUCGUUAAGUUUUUCGUCUCCCUCUCACCAGACUCACACACUACGUACACCACGAAGACUGUGACGUCCUUCAUCACUAGGUCGUUGUCUCGUUUCAGCCAACCAUGACGUCGAUGGGUGCACCUUCAUCUUAGUGUUCUCUCACUAGGACCAAGAACAAUUUAGACCACAGCACCCAUUUAUGCCCUAACGACGACUGGGAUCCCUGUGACUUUACCGACUACUCGGAUCUCUAGGUCACGAAGUACGGGGGUGUCUCGAUCUUUUGGACUUUUGAAAACUUACACUUCCUUUAGUUGGACUCCUACGAAAUCUGGACGUUUUGUCCAGUUUCCCAUAAUCUCCUCAUCUUCGGUUAAUACGAAACUUCGAACGCUUGUUAGGAGGUUUCUCUAGAUUCAACCUACUUGUGUUUCAUCGUUACGAACCAUUUUUCGCUCGGUCUGUUUGACACUAUUAAUUACUGCUCCUACGUUUCGUUCGACCAUAUUACUGUUAUAGUUGUGGGUCCUCUGUUAGAGCACCCCGACCACUUCAUCGACGUCCUUGUGUCUUGGUCGACCGGUAGUCCCUGGUCUCCGUUUGACUUUACUACCCAGGUCUUGCUUCAUUAAGACGGUGGGGUUCCCUAUCUUUACGUCUAAGGUCACAACUACAACUUAACCGUAGAGGCUUGACCAGUUUCUUUUACUUACGACUUUAUGGGGGGAGUCUACCCUUGGUUGUUAGACAUGGUUCCGUCCGGUGAAACUCCGUUUGGUACCUAAGGUUCGUCAAGUUCCCGGCUGGUCAGAGAAGAGUCUCUCGUCUACAUUGUCCCGUCUUGUACCGUCUAGUCUUUGCUCGGGUGUUCUCCAGAGAACAAAGGUUCUUUCUUCGAAGUCGUUUAUUAUGUGUUAUAGUACUGUGUAGACAACUUGCUGAAGAUGUCCUUCACUGUUCACUAUUCAAGACCGUAUUAGGUCUCCUCAGCCUUGAAGUUAGACAAGGACCUUCGAAACUUAGACGACUCCUCAUGUAAUCUCAAAAACUCGGAAACGAAAAACUCCUUACGUCUCGAGUCGAUGUGUCAAGAAUACUCCUUAGAGAACUCCGACAGAGUUCCCUACGUGUACAUUACCACGCGCAAUCUUGACACCUAUCCGCACUUUCUCCCACCAUACUACAAGAACAAGAUGGUCGUGUACUUAUAUUUACCUGAAAAUUUCUUCCUCUUCAACGUCAAAACAGUAAGGGAGCCGGACUAAGUCGACGUGUCAGUUCAUUAAGAUUAUCCUUCUGACAACCAAGUUUACUUCUACGGCUCAGUCUCACACCUGCCGAACAACCAUCUCAGGCCGCGGUAUACGGAUUACUAUGUGCACUAGGGUAACCUCGUUAAUAGGCAAAAAUACGACCCUUGGGCAGACUAAGAUCGACACUCUAAUUACAAGACCCCUUUGAGGUUGGAGUUUCGUGGACCAUAGAUUGACCAGAGCCAAGAGAGCGUUGUUGUGUUUCCCUCAUAUAACGCAACGUGCGUAAGGCGGCAGAAUUACACGUCUACGUUUUACGUUAAGAAGUCGGCUCAGGUCUCGUGAAGGGGUUCAUGGUUCUCGUCGGUGGACGAUACGGACUGACGAAGUGAGGUUUAAAAAGAACAGUAGAGGUAGUAUGUAAGUUACCCGGAGUCGAUAGUCGUUAGGUAACCCGACGUUACGUAUGUCGACGACCGUGUCCGUUACCUCAUCACUUCUUUGUUCUUGGAACCGGAAAGUGUAACCAUGUUCCAGGAGGUCCUUGUCCCUUUUGAGUAUGACAAACCCCUUACGAUUUACAAUAAGUAGAACAAGUCAUAGUUGUAAUGAUACGACGAGACGAUUUUUUUGAACGAGGACUUUCAAUACUCGUUCAACCACCAUCACGAUCGUCGUGGAGUCUUCGACAACGACGCCCGAGUUACCUACUUCAAAACGUCUCGUACUUAGUUUUGGACAAAGCGUGAGAAGGGUUCGAAACGGGGUUUGGCGCCUACGAACAAACACGGGGUAGUUUACGACGUUGUCUACUCGACGAACGAGCACAAGAUCUAGCACCAAAGUAUCUACCACUCUACUCCCAGAUGGCGGGACUGCAACGGGCACAACCUCAACUAAGUGUCAGGGCACGACGUGUUCGACAAAGUCAACUCGCUGCCUGCCUUGUCGAAAAUUACUUCCCUGCACUCCUUCAUUAACCCACCGACGUAGUUGAUUUUCAGGCACUUGUUGUUAAUAGUGUUCUCUAUCGUGAAGACGUCUCCCUUGAAUUAUACCAACGUCUCCGACCAUCUAGAGUCCCAAGCAAACCUCAUCUAGGUCUGUACGAACGAGUUUCCCUAGCAUUGGCACUAUAUGACGAAGUCUUUGAACGACGAAGACACCUUUCGUCCCUAUUUCAUGACCAACUCUACAGUGCGGACAACUAUAAUCUUUCGUCCAAGGCACAACCGUCUUUGAAGUUAGACCUUCUACGAUCCCGAUCAAACCUUCGAUCAAAACGGUCACUUCGCCUUUAACAAAAAUGAUGUCAUAGUUCGUCACCAGCGUUCAAUAAAAGACGGGAAUUAGUACCGAAACUAUACCAACAAUAGCUACUCCGACGAGUCCGGUCACUUCAUCCUCAGGAGGGAGGUGAAAGUGAACCACGUCGAUCUACACAGAACCAACCACUAGGUGUUGUCGAGGGACGGUGACAAUAAUCGUUUCGUCGACCUUGAAAUGAGAUGUCGUCCUCAGAAAAACUCUCCAAAGUCGUUCGACCAACGGGAUGGUAAAACGACAGUCACGUUAUAGCCUACGUAGGGGUCUAGGCACUUAAAGGUAGUUCUAUGAAGAUGGUUCCGGCGGAAUGUCUAUCACUUUCACAGCGGUUGAACGCGCUACUCCGUAAGAUAUCUCUACGUAAUUACCGUGGAAUGUAAAAGAUACUGUAGAGCGUACCCGCACUCAGGGUAUCUCCACCCAGUAGAAGUAUGGUCUUACAGGUACUUCGUGUCAAACGUAACACAAACAUACUCGUAGAAGUCUUCAAGGACUCUCGAUUACCACCGUUCUUUCGUAGACAACCAUAUUAGUGAGGAAUAUUCAACGUCAACUUCACAGAAGUCGCCCUUAAACGCCUCCAAUACUUAUGGCUCCUUCCCUUUCUAUAGAUGUAUUUGUGUCAACUACGAAAAGUUCCGGUCCUCGCACUACACUAAUAAUACAGUACACAGGCACGGAGUUUGGUGCCACAACCAAAACAACGUCUAUAUGCGGCAUACUUACAGCGAGAAUGAGCUCGAUCCUCUCGAGAUACCCAAUAACCAUUACGGUUACGGGAGUACGUCAGUCUCCUAACCCGCCGUGACCAUCGUCUACGUUUCCGCUCUUUUACAAAGUACCUGAACUCAUCGUAGGGCUCACUGAAGGAUCGAUACUUGUUUAAAAGUUUGCGGGCCCCGGACUUAAGAAGUUCGUCGUGUUCCAUGUACUCCUGAUCACCUGGCUCUGGCUCCGUAAAGCUGUACGAAGGCCGUGGGUCCUACCCAUACUGCCGGCCACUCCUACCGGUAGGGUUGAGACAACGCUCUUUACCAUCAAUGGCCUUAGACAGGUUACUACACCCCGUAGGACCACUAUCCAGAUCUCUAUUAAACGUCAAACCCUCCUAGUCCCCCGGCUUAGGUAGGUUACUAGGCUCCUCUGUUCGGAUUCCUCUUGUUUAACCACAGACGUCAAAAAACGCACCUCACCACGUCGUACCUUCUUCCUACUACUUCGUCCUACAACGGACAACGAUGAUUAGCCUACGACAGCAUAACCCUGUACCCGAUACCCGAGAACUAAAACAGACCGACGACUUGUCUACCGACGGAGUCCGGGAGCCGCAACACCUUGGCACGUCCUGCCCCAAUGUACCUGGUAUAAACUUGUUCCGACAGUCGACCUGUCUACAACGGACCGUAACGAAAUCAGACGAAAGAUAUCUAAAUACAUAACAUAUGCGCUCGCCCGUAAAAGUAAAAUUUUGGACUAGAUAUCGUCCAUUUAGACCCGAUCCAGUAAAACUUUGCGAUACUGCCCAAUCCCGAUUUCCAAACGCUGGUCUAUACGGUACAUACUGACCAAACGACAACAUCUGGCGGACGUAUUUAAGACAGACACACAUACAUGUAUGUCUUUAGGCGUACAUCUUGUUCAGGUAUUAGACCAAGCUAAUAAGACAAACCGUACCGGCUGGAACCUAGACGCAGCCAGCUACGAAGACACGAACGUGACAGA